AAAAUAGUAAUCUCCUGCUGAGUCAAUGGAUGUUAAAAUCGUGCCGGAGGUUCAGUUAAAUCGGGAUUUUACAGUAUACCCGUCAUUAGACUCCAUGGAUGUGAGAAGACUAAUAAUAAGCUUUUGUCAGAACAACGGCGGAGGUUUGGACAGUCUGGACGUUUUAGCACCCUCCUGCCAGCAGAAUCACCCAGGGUGAACGAAGAUAAUAAUGAAAGUCCUGUGAUCUGUUACGGUCACGUUGGCUUGCCAGCAAGUAGCCGACUUCACUAACAACCACCCAGAACACCGUAGACCAGAGAUGUAGCAACCACACGGCAACCUGCUAAAAGUCAUUCAUAAACACCUUUGCAACCCAUAGCAUCAUGGCGGU